CCUUUGGCCUAGUGGCGAACGGCGGAGUAAUACAUAAGCAACGUGCCCCGACGACCGGGAUAGCCCCUCGAAAGAGGGAUUAAUACCGGAUGUGGCCCUUGGAGGACAUCCUUCGAGGAUUAAAACGAGUAAUCGGCAUCGGGAGCGGCUUGUGGCCUAUCAGCUUGUUGGUGGGGUAAUGGCCUACCAAGGCUACGACGGGUAGCUGGUCUGAGAGGACGACCAGCCCGACUGGGACUGAGACACGGCCCAGACUCCUACGGGAGGCAGCAGUUGGGAAUCUUGCACAAUGGGCGAAAGCCUGAUGCAGCGACGCCGCGUGGAGGACGAAGUCUCUCGGGAUGUAAACUCCUUUUGCCAGGAAAGAUAAUGACGGUACCUGGUGAAUAAGCCCCGGCUAACUACGUGCCAGCAGCCGCGGUAAGACGUAGGGGGCGAGCGUUGUCCGGAUUUACUGGGCGUAAAGAGCGCGUAGGCGGUCUGUUAAGUCAGAAGUGAAAUCUCCAGGGCUCAACUCGGAAACUGCUUUUGAUACUGUCAGACUGGAGUGUCGGAGAGGUAAUUGGAAUUCCUGGUGUAGCGGUGACAUGCAUUGAUAUCAGGAGGAACACCCAUGGCGAAGGCAGAUUACUGGCCGACAACUGACGCUGAGGCGCGAAAGCGUGGGUAGCAAACAGAAUUAGAUACUCUGGUAGUCCACGCCCUAAACGAUGGAUACUAGACGUCGGGGGGUAUCGACCCCCCCGGUGUCGCAGCUAAUGCAAUAAGUAUCCCGCCUGGGGACUACGGCCGCAAGGUUGAAACUCAAAUGAAUUGAC
rnacentral:rRNA from 1 species